GGAGAGCCUCUGCCUUUGAGCCUUGUUUGGCCGAAAAGGGAGAACCGAGUGAGGGCCUUCUCUCAGCCCCGCUCACUUAAUUGUUCCAAUUUCCACCAGCCCUCCCUUUCCUUAAACAACCAAGAUGAUUCCCAACGAAGCUCACUGGUCUUUCCGCUGGAGCCUUGGUUCUUCGCCUUACAGCAGGUAAGGUCACCAAGGAGUUAAAUUAAAAAAAAACAAAAUGAAACAAAAAAACCCUGAAACCGAACCAAACAAAAUCUAAAAACCCACAAAAACAAAACCUUCCCCAGAGAUAGAGACUUAAUUGGUCUGGAGAGCCCUCUAGGCACUGGAAGUUUUUCUUUUUUCUUUCUUUCUUUCUUUUUUUUUUUUUUUUUAAGAUUUUAUUUAUUUAUUUGACAGAGAUCACAAGCAGGUAGAGAGAGGAAAGGAAGCAGACUCCCCGCUCAGCAAUGAGCCCAAUGCAGGGCUCCAUCCCAGGACCCUAAGAUCAUGACCUGAGCGAAAGGCAGAGGCUUUAACCCACUCAGCCACCCAGGCACCUCGGCACUGGAAGUUUUAAACACUCCUUUUCCCCAUUCUGAGUAGUGGAGGGAAGGAAAAAGUCAACUGAGUGGCAAGGUACCUUCAAAUACACACAUAUUUGC
rnacentral:lncRNA from 1 species